UACGUAGGGGCAAGCGUUGUCCGGAUUAUUGGGCGUAAAGAGCGUGUAGGCGGCUUUACAGGUCCGUUGUGAAAACUCGAGGCUCAACCUCGAGACGCCGGUGGAAACCGUAAGGCUAGAGUCCGGAAGAGGAGAGUGGAAUUCCGUGGUGUAAGCGGUGAAAUGCGCAGAUAUCAGGAGGAACACCCGUGGCGAAAAGCGGCUCUCGUGGGACGGUACUGACGCUGAGACGCGAAAGCGUGGGGAGCAAACAGG
rnacentral:rRNA from 1 species